GCGGGAAUAGCUCAGUUGGUUAGAGCGUCAGCCUUCCAAGCUGAAGGUCGCGGGUUCGAAUCCCGUUUCCCGCUCCA
rnacentral:tRNA from 2 species